AGCGAACGCUGGCGGCAGGCCUAACACAUGCAAGUCGAACGGAUCCUUCGGGAUUAGUGGCGGACGGGUGAGUAACACGUGGGAACGUGCCCUUUGGUUCGGAACAACUCAGGGAAACUUGAGCUAAUACCGGAUGUGCCCUUCGGGGGAAAGAUUUAUCGCCAUUGGAGCGGCCCGCGUCUGAUUAGCUAGUUGGUGAGGUAACGGCCCACCAAGGCGACGAUCAGUAGCUGGUCUGAGAGGAUGAUCAGCCACACUGGGACUGAGACACGGCCCAGACUCCUACGGGAGGCAGCAGUGGGGAAUCUUGCGCAACGGGCGAAAGCCUGACGCAGCCAUGCCGCGUGAAUGAUGAAGGUCUUAGGAUUGUAAAAUUCUUUCAGCGGGGACGAUAAUGACGGUACCCGCAGAAGAAGCUCCGGCUAACUUCGUG
rnacentral:rRNA from 1 species